UACUGUAAUAAAAAAAAAUGUAUAUCGUAAACAUAGAUUGCCUGGUUAAAAGUUUAAAUUUAUUGCAAUCAUUAUCUUUUAUAACUUUAUUCAUUAAACUUUGUGAAACAUAAUAAUUCAGCAUUUAUAUACAGAAUGAUACUUGAUACAGCCAGUCUGUUAAUCAAGCACAUUCUGAUAAGGUUGACCAUAUGUUAGACAAAUUUCAAAGAUAGUUGCCAUGGUAAUUAAGUUUAUAGGAAAUCUGAAUGUAAUGGGAUGGUCACUUUUGUGGUUAUUUCCUGUUGUGUAUUUGUAAGAAAGCAGUGAAACGAAGAAAACAAAAAGAGAAAAUCAUAUCAUCUGAGGUUCAAAGAAAAAGGAAGUAACAUAGGUACAUGUAGUGAAAUAACUUUUAUGAAGAUAUGCUAAACUGGAUAUUAAAAGGAUUUAACAUAAGAUGGAGCCAGAAAUAGUGACAAAACAAAGUGUAGCAUAAAACAAAAGGAACACUCUUGUGAAUAAAAACCAUGUUGGAAUACAGAAAAAGAAAAAUAGCUGUAUACAAUGACUUAACAAUGCCUUUAUACAGAGCUUGGAUAUUGCAACAUAAACUGUAAUGAUAUUAUACAAAUGGGAUAAAUGAGUAAUCAUGAAUAGACUUUAUAAUUUUCAUUCUAUAGAUCUGAUUUAGCAACGUAUAGAUACAAAAAAGACUUUUUUUAAAUUUACUGGUUGUCUAGCUAAUAAUAAAUUAUAUUUAAUCAUA